rnacentral:lncRNA from 13 species
CAUUUUCUAUUUUUUUUCUCCCAACUACAGAAAUCUUAUAUAGGUAUGGAAUUUAUGUCUACACUAAGAAAGAAUACCAGAGAAGGAAUAAAUAAAGGCAGGUGAGGACUGUGUUCUCAGAGGACGACUUCGAGGCAAUGAAAGGAGCCCUGUCGAGUCCACAAAUAAAGAGGUCCCUGGAUCCGCCAAGAGUCAGAUUCGUAGAGAACAGGCCAAACAGUAGGACAGGAGCCCCAGAAGGCCCGAGAGGAUCACUGGAGGAGAAGACCUGUAAGU